rnacentral:rRNA from 1 species
UCAUAAAGUCUUCAAAAAAAGAAUAGAUCGAUUGCAUUCCAUGUAGUAACAUAUGCGAUCAUACCAGCACUAAUGCAUUGGAUCCCAUCAGAACUCCGCAGUUAAGCGUGCUUGGGCGAGAGUAGUACGAGGAUGGGUGACCUCGAGGAAUGUCCUCUUGUUGCAUCCCUC